GAAACGGUAGCUCAAUGGAAGAGCAUUAGCCUGCCACGCUAAGGGUUGCGGGUUCGAAUCCUGUCCGUUUCA
rnacentral:tRNA from 1 species